rnacentral:lncRNA from 1 species
AUAUUAUGUCAUUUAGGCAGCAACGACAUCAGCUGGUUCUGGGAAUGGCAACAUCACUAGAGAAGCAUUCUUUCCAGGAAUAAGAAUAUAUAUUCCUGGAAAAUAAGCCCUUUAGAAGCAAGCUUUUAUAAAGAAAAGCUUAUCUUCUUUAGUGUAACUGCUCUGAAAUCUCUACCGUCAAAGUUAGUCUCAAGGUUUCAUACAUUUAUUCAUGGAUAAUUUCAUGAAUUUAUGAAUACAUGUAUUCAUAGAUUAUAAUUAAAUUCAUAAAUUAUUCAUACAAAUCUUUUCUGUAUUUGUUGCCCCUUCUCAUUCCAACCUUAAGAUUCAGCCAAGAAUCACCACUUUAAAUUCCACCUGAAUUUCUAUGCCUGGAAAACUCUUUAUUUCCUGCCCAUUGCCUAACAGUCUUAGUUUCAAGGUUCUGAAAUCUUGAACUCAAAAAUCUUGCUUGAGUUUUCUGAGGGAAAUGUCCCCCUAGACACAUAGACUCUUGUUUCUGACUGUUUGGGAUUUGUGUGUGUACACAUACAUACAUAUUUGUAUGUAUCAGAUAGCUGCUUCAUUACAGUCAGUUCAGGAAACAUACAGAGGGGAGCUUAGGAC